rnacentral:rRNA from 1 species
UUUGACCUACGGGAGGCAGCAGUGGGGAAUAUUGCACAAUGGGGGAAACCCUGAUGCAGCGACGCCGCGUGAGUGAGGAAGUAUUUCGGUAUGUAAAGCUCUAUCAGCAGGGAAGAAAAUGACGGUACCUGACUAAGAAGCCCCGGCUAACUACGUGCCAGCAGCCGCGGUAAUACGUAGGGGGCAAGCGUUAUCCGGAUUUACUGGGUGUAAAGGGAGCGCAGACGGCAGUGCAAGUCUGGAGUGAAAGCCCGGGGCCCAACCCCGGAACUGCUCUGGAAACUGCGCGGCUAGAGUACUGGAGG